rnacentral:rRNA from 1 species
AUUGAACGCUGGCGGCAUGCCUUACACAUGCAAGUCGAACGGUAACAGGUCUUCGGAUGCUGACGAGUGGCGAACGGGUGAGUAAUACAUCGGAACGUGCCCGAUCGUGGGGGAUAACGGAGCGAAAGCUUUGCUAAUACCGCAUACGAUCUACGGAUGAAAGCAGGGGACCGCAAGGCCUUGCGCGGACGGAGCGGCCGAUGGCAGAUCAGGUAGUUGGUGGGAUAAAAGCUUACCAAGCCGACGAUCUGUAGCUGGUCUGAGAGGACGACCAGCCACACUGGGACUGAGACACGGCCCAGAGUCCUACGGGAGGCAGCAGUGGGGAAUUUUGGACAAUGGGCGAAAGCCUGAUCCAGCCAUGCCGCGUGCAGGAUGAAGGCCUUCGGGUUGUAAACUGCUUUUGUACGGAACUAAAAGCCUCUUUCUAAUAAAGAGAGGUCAUGACGGUACCGUAAGAAUAAGCACCGGCUAACUACGUGCCAGCCGCCGCGGUAACAC